GGGGAAUCUUCCGCAAUGGACGAAAGUCUGACGGAGCAACGCCGCGUGAGUGAUGACGGCCUUCGGGUUGUAAAGCUCUGUUAAUCGGGACGAAAGGCCUUCUUGCGAAUAGUUAGAAGGAUUGACGGUACCGGAAUAGAAAGCCACGGCUAACUACGUGCCAGCAGCCGCGGUAAUACGUAGGUGGCAAGCGUUGUCCGGAAUUAUUGGGCGUAAAGCGCGCGCAGGCGGAUCAGUUAGUCUGUCUUAAAAGUUCGGGGCUUAACCCCGUGAUGGGAUGGAAACUGCUGAUCUAGAGUAUCGGAGAGGAAAGUGGAAUUCCUAGUGUAGCGGUGAAAUGCGUAGAUAUUAGGAAGAACACCAGUGGCGAAGGCGACUUUCUGGACGAAAACUGACGCUGAGGCGCGAAAGCCAGGGGAGCGAACGGGAUUAGAUACCCCGGUAGUCCUGGCCGUAAACGAUGGGUACUAGGUGUAGGAGGUAUCGACCCCUUCUGUGCCGGAGUUAACGCAAUAAGUACCCCGCCUGGGGAGUACGACCGCAAGGUUG
rnacentral:rRNA from 1 species